rnacentral:rRNA from 1 species
CCUACGGGGGGCAGCAGUGAGGAAUAUUGGUCAAUGGGCGUAAGCCUGAACCAGCCAAGUCGCGUGAGGGAUGAAUGUCCUAUGGAUCGUAAACCUCUUUUAUAAGGGAAUAAAGUGUGGCACGUGUGCUUUUUUGUAUGUACCUUAUGAAUAAGGAUCGGCUAACUCCGUGCCAGCAGCCGCGGUAAUACGGAGGAUCCGAGCGUUAUCCGGAUUUAUUGGGUUUAAAGGGUGCGUAGGCGGGCUUUUAAGUCAGCUGUGAAAGUCUGCGGCUCAACCAUAGAAUUGCAGUUGAAACUGGGAGGCUUGAGUAUGUUUGAGGCAGGCGGAAGGCGUGGUGUAGCGGUGAAAUGCUUAGAUAUCACGAAGAACUCCGAUUGCGAAGGCAGCUUGCCAAGCUAUGACUGACGCUGAUGCUCGAAAGUGUGGGGAUCAAACAGGAUUAGAUACCCGUGUAGUC